UUGGAGCUCAGAGAAGUUAUGGCCCAAGAUGGAAGAGCAAGUCUGUGGCAGACGAGGUCCAAGAACUCGCUCUCCUGAUGCCUCAGUUGAGAACACGUUCUACUUCACUACCUGGUCUCCCAGCUACCCAAGGGCAUAUGAACAACCAGGGAAUUACUUUGGGGGAUACCAGCAAGGAGAUUUGGAGAUCCUGGAAAUUGGAAAAAACAAAACAAUCUGUCUAGGACGGCAGAGAGAGCUGGUCUCAUCCAGGACACUAAUUCCUGCCCUUGGACACUGGUACUCCUGGUUCUCAGGCCUUUGAACUUGGACCGGGACUUACACCAUCAGCUCCCCUGGUUAUAUACCACCAGCCUUCUUGGUUCUUCACCUUCAGACAACAGACAGUGGGACUUCUUGACCUCCAUUUCCAAUUCCCAAAAUAAAUCUUCUUAUAUCUAUGAAAAAAAAAAAAAAA
rnacentral:lncRNA from 1 species